GAUGAAGAACGUAGCGAAAAUGCGAUAAGUAAUGUGAAUUGCAGAAUUCAGUGAAUCAUCGAAUCUUUGAACGCACCUUGCGCUCCUUGGUAUUCCAAGGAGCAUGCCUGUUUGAGUAUCAUUAAAUUAUCAACUGUGCCAAUUUGGUUACAGAUUGGAUGUGGGAGAUUCUUUUUGCAGGCCUUUGACUUCUCUUUGAGAAAAAAAAUAAAAGGUCGGCUCUCCUGAAAUGUAUUAGCAGUGCCUUUGUUGGUUCAUUAGGUGUGAUAAAUUGUCUACAUCUUCGCAUGAUACCUUCAUUUGUAAAGGUCAUAUUGCUUCUAAAUUGUCUUUGAUUGGACGCAAAACAUAUAUAAUGUUUGACAAACUUGAUCUCAAAUCAGGCAGGACUACCCGCUGAACUUAAGCAUAUCAAUAAGCGGAGGA
rnacentral:misc_RNA from 1 species